rnacentral:rRNA from 1 species
AUUGAACGCUGGCGGCAGGCCUAACACAUGCAAGUCGAGCGGAUGAAGGGAGCUUGCUCCUGGAUUCAGCGGCGGACGGGUGAGUAAUGCCUAGGAAUCUGCCUGGUAGUGGGGGAUAACGUCCGGAAACGGGCGCUAAUACCGUAUACGUCCUGAGGGAGAAAGUGGGGGAUCUUCGGACCUCACGCUAUCAGAUGAGCCUAGGUCGGAUUAGCUAGUUGGUGGGGUAAAGGCCUACCAAGGCGACGAUCCGUAACUGGUCUGAGAGGAUGAUCAGUCACACUGGAACUGAGACACGGUCCAGACUCCUACGGGAGGCAGCAGUGGGGAAUAUUGGACAAUGGGCGAAAGCCUGAUCCAGCCAUGCCGCGUGUGUGAAGAAUGUCUUCGGAUUGUAAAGCACUUUAAGUUGGGAGGAAGGGCAGUAAGUUAAUACCUUGCUGUUUUGACGUUACCAACAGAAUAAGCACCGGCUAACUUCGUG